rnacentral:lncRNA from 1 species
UAGAGGCCCGGGAAUAUGACCCCCAUGCCUCUACCGGGAAGCAGACCCUUGGUCCCACUGCCCAGAUACACUUUGCAGGCAACCCUCUCCCACUCUUGCCACGUCCCUCUUUGCUUUUUCCCUUCUUCUUUCCUCAGGUUAGAGGAGUCUUCCCCCCCACCCCACCCCCAGAAUGAAUAAAAUUAUUCUCUUUGUUUUCGGAAGAUAUUUUUGACUGUAUCCCCAUACCUUUUCAUCUUUAACAGUGUUCAUUAUUCUACUGGUCAUCCCCUUCAAGGAUUCAGAAUUUUGAGAAUAUUAAAAAGUCAGGGGAAACACGAGGUUCUUUCUGCUUCCGUCUCUGUCGAAUCCUCCUCUUGCUCGAAUUGGGGCAGUGGAGGAGGGGGGUGGUGCACAGGGGCCAGACUGAGGAGAGGAAAGAGGAAAAUUUAAGAAGAGAGAAAAAUGUUUAUACUGCAGAAUAAUCAUGCAGCUUCAGUCAUAACAAGCAGUCAGUUUGGGGCAAUAAAGUUCUUUCUUCUAGGAGCUCCCUCUAAAGGUCUGGGAAGGAGGGGUGGGAGGGAGGGGGGGGCAUGGCCCCUUCCUCUCCUUGACAUACACACAAGCCUAUUUUCUGGGGUAAGUCACCCCUCAAGGUGGCUGGAAAACUGGCCCUGGAUCCCAGAUCCCACUGUGCUAAGUGACGGAGACACAGACAGCCCAGGGCCACUGUAUAGACUGUCCGGGUGCGGGGGUCGUGUGUGGGCCUGGGGAGGUCUGGAGUUGAGUUCCGUGACCUGGUUUGGCCACGGAGCUGUCUGGCUCCCGCUCUCCUCACAGGGGGACCCUCAAUUCUGUCCCUGUGCCCCCCGGCCUCCUCUUUCCCUGAGGGAGGAGACAAACUCUGCUCAGCCCCACCCUGCUCAGCCCCACCCGGCCAUCCACCCGGGCAGGCAAGGAGCGGAACACCCGAGCUCGGCUGAGGGCAUUCCCCACCUCUCCUCAGAGGGAGCCACCCGCUUCGCCCCAUUCUCCAAAGAGAGAUGGUCCAGCCCCAGGCGCUGGCACACGUACACACGUACGCACGAAGCGUUUCCGGCAUCGGGGUCUUGCACAAACCCUCCGUCCUCGCCUGCGACGCGAGACGACGCCCUUCGCUCCCAGCAGCCCUUGCGGCAAGAUGGCGGCGCGGCGCCGCAGGAAGAGGCGGCCUGUGGCAGGCGCGGCGCCCUCAGAGCCCAACCGAGGGCGUCUCAGAGAUGGGUGCCCCGGGGCUGA